AAAGUCGUAACAAGGUUUCCGUAGGUGAACCUGCGGAAGGAUCAUUAACAAGUUUCGAGAUGGCAUACCCUCGGGGGGGAACAGAUUCCAUUCGUGCUGCAGAGUGCCAGCACGGGUGAUACUUCCGAGGAAUGUCACACUCGUCAAACACCAUCUGUGUACCCUCUCCCGUUGCUUCCGUGGGUGUGCUUCGCCCCCCACGAAAGUCAUUCAGAAAACCUUUUGGAAUCGUCAUGCCCUCCGUCUGAAGUCAAACGAUGAAGAAUUAAAACUUUCAACAACGGAUCUCUUGGUUCUC
rnacentral:misc_RNA from 1 species